rnacentral:lncRNA from 1 species
AGACUUUUUUUAGAAAAAGAAAUUAACUGAUAUUUGUAUUAAUUUAUUAUUAAUAUUGAUAUAAAAUAUGAUGAUAAAGUAUAUUUUGCAAAUAUGUAAUGUCUUCGUUUAUUUUUAAACGACUGACUCACACAUAUAGAUUAUCUACACGUUUGAAUAAUUUAUAAUCAAUCAAAUAUAAAUUAUUUAAAAAUGUAUAAAAAAAUAUAUCAUUAAUAUUUUUAAUUUUUUUAAAUUUUUUCUCCGGCGCAUCGUACGGAUUACUUCACUAAUAAGCAUGAACAC